rnacentral:rRNA from 1 species
UGAGGAAUAUUGGUCAAUGGGCGAGAGCCUGAACCAGCCAAGUAGCGUGCAGGAUGACGGCCCUAUGGGUUGUAAACUGCUUUUAUGUGGGGAUAAAGUGCGUGACGUGUCAUGCAUUGCAGGUACCACAUGAAUAAGGACCGGCUAAUUCCGUGCCAGCAGCCGCGGUAAUACGGAAGGACCGGGCGUUAUCCGGAUUUAUUGGGUUUAAAGGGAGCGUAGGCUGUCUAUUAAGCGUGUUGUGAAAUUUACCGGCUCAACCGGUGGCUUGCAGCGCGAACUGGUCGACUUGAGUAUGCAGGAAGUAGGCGGAAUUCAUGGUGUAGCGGUGAAAUGCUUAGAUAUCAUGACGAACUCCGAUUGCGCAGGCAGCUUACUGUAGCAUAACUGACGCUGAUGCUCGAAAGUGCGGGUAUCAAACAGG